rnacentral:lncRNA from 1 species
UGGUGGUGGUUCUUUGGCUAGAUCAAAAUCUGUGAAUGAGGAGUCAGGAAGAGAGGAGGGUUUAUAAGCCAAGAGGACAUGCUUUGGGUUGAAAGAGGUACAGAGAGACGGAUUGGAGUGAAGGAAGAGAAAGCCCGAAUGUGUAAAAUCUCUGCCCAUUUUUUUGAUCGCACUCAAUAAUUAUAGAGAUCCUGCAAAAUGGCGGGGCUAAGGACCCAUAAGGGGGACAAUGGUUUUGGUUAUCUAAGGGAUAAUUGGGCCAAUCCUGAGUAGAGAAUUUUAUCAAUUUCUUGAGUUUGAUCUCUGGGGUUAGGCUGAGGGUGUCCAAAUUGUUGAGGAGGCAUUUGAGAGGGGAGUCAGCUGGCAGAGAGGAGGCACCCCACCUUGGGGCUAUGAGGAAGGGUAUGAUAUAUUGACUGGAGAGGUGUCCCACUUGAGCCAAAUAUCAGAACGAGACCUCAGGCCGAGGAUAUGGUUGUCACCAAAAUCCUCCGGUGAGGGGCCCUUCCCGAGGUCCAUGGGAGUUAUGGGUUACCUGGUGCCAGGCUUUUGGACCAAGAGUGAGGAGGAGGAGACUCAAGCUCAAGGAGGGGAGGGGGUUUGUCAGUUCUCAAGCUGGCCAAGGCCUGUAAGGAAGGGGAAGACUCCAAGAGGACCCCUGUGACUGUGAAGGUCUGGGUGGGGUGUGUUCCUCCCCGCGAAACACCCUAGGGGCUGCCGGAACAUCAAUGGCCAGUUCCUUAUUACUGUGCCUCAGCAGGUUUAGGAGUCGGGAGAGGGAGACUCACCGAUUUGUAGGCCAAUGGUGGAUGUGAAAGAGGUGAUUAAGAAGAUGGGUGCAGCUUGGUCUCCACUCAGGUGGUGAUCUCCAGUGGGAUGGGAGUCCUGCUUAAAAGCAGGGUAGUUCCAUCUGAGUCAGGGCACCAAUGAAGGGCAAAUGACUCACCUGAGAUGGAGAUUCAACCAAGAGAUUUAUUGGGGGGGGGCUGCCCAAAGGGGAAGAAAAGGAGAAGCAGAGAGGAGGGGAGGAGAGCCGAGAGCAGAGGAAGAGAGCAGAAAGAGAAAGAGGAGAAAGAGGAAGAGAGCAGAGAGCAGAGAGGAAGAGGGCUGGGAGUGUGAGCUUGCAAGCUUCGUCUUGGCUUAAGAAGGGUUGUGUAGGCGAUGUGGCGGAUGCUGACUGGCAGGGUGACUCAGGAACUGCGAGCAGACAGUGUCCUACAGGGAUUGGUCAAGAAAACUUUUGAAUUUGGUGCUAUUCGGAGAGGAGGGAGAGGGGUAAGGGAUUAUGUGAUGUUCUCAUGAGACAGAAACUUCAGUGGGGACUUUCCCACACAUUCAACAAAACAAAUAGAACCACACAUAGUCUAACAUAGUCUUUCACCCUGAGCUUCACUGCACAGUUGUUUCCGGGUUCUAUGAGGGCAGGCCCCCAUUAAGGUUUCUGAAACUUUUGCUCCUUGUCAUGUUUGCUGAUGUCUUGUUGUCCAAAGCAAGUCACAUGGCCAAGCCUAGAGUUUGUGUGGGAGAGGAUACAUAAAAGUAUGGAUAUUAGGAGGCGAAUCACUGGCAUUAUUAUGACAGCUUACCACAUUGGGAGUUUUGAAGAACUCUAAAAGAAUGUUAGGGAAGAUUGUGUGGAGCCUGAUUAGGUAAAAAUAUAGUGGGCUGAAGCAUUUAUACUGUUGUACCUUUUGGCUUCGAGUGAAAGUCUAGGAUAUAUAGACUCUCUUCCCAUCUGAAUCUCUUAAUGUAUCUGCAUGUAUACCCAUCUUCUCCUUUCUUCCUGUUAAUAGUAUAAGAAGGUUAUCCUGUGUAUGCUUAUAAUCGCCUCUUCUUGCUCUCUUGGCCAUCAGUCUCUAAUGCAGCUUUUACCAUUUACUAAGUCCUUCCCCUUUUAAUUCAAACAUGUAUUGUCUCCCAUCUUUGAAAAUAUUUCUAAUCUAAUUUUCCCUUUUAGCUACCUCUUUUGUCUUCAUCUCUGUACAGCCAAGCCCACAUCAGUUGUUUACAUUGGCAGGCUCUUCUGCAUUUUCUCAGAAUCCCACUCCAGUAUAGCUUGCACCCCUCCCAUUCCAAGGAAGCUGCUCUUGCCAGUGUCAGAGGUCCAACACAGAGGUCCAAGGUCCACAUCCAAGGUCCAGUUUCUAGGUCCACUUUUCAGGUCUUAAAUUAUUCCAAGUUUCACAUUAAAUCCAUGUCUAAAGUCCAGGUUCUGUCCAACAUCAAAUCACGUUCUAGCUCUGAUAGCUAGUUCCAAGAUCAUGUAUAAUCAUUCUGAAUUAAAGGAUAAAAAUCUAGGGCUAAGAUUCAACUCUAAGACCUGAUGUUCCUAUAUGAGCUCCAAAUCCAGGACUAAAGACUAUAUCCAAGGAAUAUACAUACCCAGGUCUGAGGUCUAGACACUGCUGAUGGUCAAGAAAUAGGUAUAAUGUCAGACCUAGUAUUGUGGACCAAUCUGUGUCAACAUCUAGGUACAAGCUCCAAGUCCAAAUUUGAAGUUAAUGUACACAGUCCAGGUCAAUGUACCACUUCAUAUCUUUUAUGGGUUGACUUGUGUUCUGCCCCAAAAUUCCUAUGUUGAAGUUCUAACCUCAGGUGCCACAAUGUGAUCUUAUUUGGAAACCAGGUCAUUGAAGAUAUAAUGAAGUCAUCCUGCAGUAGGGUGCACUACUAACCCAAUAUGAUUGGUGUCCUUAUCAGUAGGAAAAAUGUGGACACAGGUACAUGUAUACACAGGAAGAAUGCUACAUGAGUAUGAAAACAUCAGGGCAAUGCAUCAAUAAGCCCAAAAUACCAAAAAUUGCCGUAAAACCACCAGAAGCUAAGAGAGUAGUAUGAAACACAUUUCUCGCUUACAAUCCUCAGAAGGAUUUCUAUGCUAUAGUUCUGUGGGUGCCAAAGUUUGGAUCUAGAAUGUCCUCUAAAGGCCCAUGUGUUCAAGGCCUGGUCCCCAACUUGAUAGUAUUGGGAGGUGGUGAAAAGUUUAAAAGGUGAGGUUGAGUGGGAGAGCUUUCUGUUUUUGGAGGUGUAUCCCUGAAAGGGAGAGUGAAAUCCCCACUCUUUCCUUUCUCUUUCUUUUGCUCACUGGCCACAUGGUUAAUGGAUUUACUUUGGUCAUGCCUUUUUGCCAUGAUGUGCUGCCUUGCCACAAGUCCAAAGAAACAGGGCCAACCAAUCAUGGAUUGAAACUUCUAAAGUUGUGAGCCAAAGUCAACUUUUUAUACAUUUAUUAUCCCUGCCUGCAUGUUCUAAUAAAUUUACAAAAUAGAGAAAUCACUGGAUUUGGCCCUGUGGGCUACAUUUUCUGGCCCUUAUUGAUAUUAAUCCCUUGACUUUAGACAAUGCAAAAAUCUUUACAUCUUCAAUGAACUGUUUUCUUUGUCUAAAGAAUUUUUAUUGGACAAAAUCCUACAUGUUAAUGUUGUCAAACUCCUCCAAUUUUCCAGGUAUUUUAGGAGUUUUUUUUUUUUCCUGGUCAUACAAGGACUAAACUCAGGGACACUCUACCACCGAGUUACAUUCUCAGUCCUUUUUACUUUUUAUUUUGAGACAGGGUCUUGCUAAGUUGCUCAUAUUGGUUUCUAACUUGCAAUCCUCCUGCCUUCUCCUACCAGCAAAGACACUAAAUUUUUUCUGUUAAAUUAUCCUAUCUGGGUCUGGGAUUGUGGCUCAGUGGUAGAGCGCUUGCCUAGCACAGGCAUGACCCGGGUUUGAUUCUCAGCACCACAUAAAAAUAAAGGCAUUGUGUUGUGUCCAUCUACAAAAAAGAUUCUGUCUCUCUCUCUUUAAAAAAAUUGUCCUAUCUGUGGUACUUUGUCACAGAAUCCUUAGCAAACAAAUGUAACCUCCAAGAUCCAGAUUGAAGUCCUAGGUCCAGGUUAAAAUACAGGAACACAGUCCAGGUCUCUAUCCAUGGUCCAAAUGUAAACUCAGGUCCAAGAUCCUAUAGUCAAAGACUUGAGUUCUAAAGUUGGAAUUCAGUAUUCAAAUAUAUGUCCAAGACCCAGAUCACAUUUCAAGGACCAAGUAAAAGGUUCAUUCACCUCUGCUUUCAUUUUCUAGUUGAGGUCAUUUCUAAGGAACUGGGCAAAUUCAGGUCCAAAAUACAUGUGUAGACCUGAGGUCCUGGAUCCGUGUCCAAGGUCAGUUCUAGUUGGACAAGUGAACUCUAGAGUCUAGAUCUAAAUUACAGUUCCAAAGUGCCAUUCCUAGAUGAGGUCCUAGUCCAUGCAAAAAGCCUAGGUUAAAUCCAGCACCUGGUCUGAGGUCAUGCUUAUGAUCUUAAUAAUUGCCAUUCUGACUGGAGUGAAAUGGAAUCUCAGUAUAGUUUUAAUGUGCAUUUCUGUAAUUGUUAGAGAUGUUGAACAUUUUUUCAUAUAUUUUUUUGACCAUUUGUAUUUCUUCUGUGAAGUGCCUGUUCAGUUCUUUUGCCCAUUUAUUGACUGGGCUAUUUUACUUUAUUUUUUCUUUUUUGGUGUUAAGUUUUUUUGAGUUCUUUAUAAUAUUUUAGAGAACUGAGGUGGAGGUGGCAAAAAUUUUCUCUCAUUCUAUAGGCUCUUUGUUCACGUUCUUGAUUGUUUCCUUUGCUGUUAAGAAGCUGUUUAGUUUGAUGCCAUCUUAUUUAUUGAUUCUUGAUUUUACUUGUGUUUUAGAAGUCUUAUUGAGGAAAUUGGCUCCUUUUGAAACUUCUAAAGUUGUGAGCCAACAUGAUGGAUAGUUAGGCCUACUUUUUCUUCUAGUAGGCCUAGAAGGGUCUCUAGUCUAAUGCCUAGGUCCUUGAUCCACUUUGAGUUAAGUUUUGUUCAAGACAAGAGAUAGGGGUUUAAUUCCAUGUUGCUUCUAUGGAUUUCCAGUUUCCCUAGCACCAUUUGUUCAAGAGGCUAUCUUUUCUCCAAUGUAUGUUUAUGGCACCUUUGUCUAGUAUGAGAUAACUGUAUUUAUGUGGGUAUGUCUCUGUGUUUUCUAUUCUGUUCUGUUGGUCUUCUUGUCUGUUUUUGUGCCAAUACCAUGGCACAUACCAUUUUUGUUAUUAUAGCUCUGCAGUAUAAUUUUAAGGUCUGAAAAUCACAAGAUUCUUGAGUAAAAUUACAAUUGUGUACAUAUCAGUGGCUUUGUAACAGAAAUAGUUCAUAUACACAGAAGAAAAAUUAAGGCAGUUUUCAGUUCAACAGAGGUUGACUCCAACCCAUCUCAAAGAUACUCAAUAGUUGAAGGUAUACCACAGAAUAAAUUUAAGAUUAUCCAAUAAACAAGAGCCAUACCACUGGUGUUUGAGAUAAAAUUUAAACAUAUUAAAGUUUAUUAUUCAAUCAGGAGUUAGAUGACUGUGCAAACUUUACCUCAACAGGAAUAUACCGAGAUGUGCAAACAAAUGCAAAAUUCCACUAGUGGUUUGACUGAAGGCUGAACUUUUUUUUCUUACAGAACUUUCUGAUAACAACCAUAAACUAUAAGUACAGGUACAAUGCAGUCAGUGAUCAUUUUAUUUAUUGUUAGAAUAUAAAGGAAUUGAGAAAGCAUAGGUUUCAUUCAUUAUAUUUUUUAUAAGGAAGACUGCAUUAACCUGAAAAAAAUGUUACCAUAUUAUCACACACAAACAUGCUUCAGAGGAGGAAUAUAUUUGAGAAUAUGAUAUUCUAAAUUCUAAAGGAAAAGUGAUCCUUUUCAACAAUGCAUAGUUGAUCCUUUUCCAUCAAUAAAUAUUGUUGAAAGUUCUUUAAGGAAAAACUUACUAAUUCUUCACUACAUAAGUUUUUGUGAAUUUAGUUUUUGAAUCACCAUAAUCCACUAUCCAAUAUUAAUAUCUCUUUUAUAGUACUACAACAAGCCAACAAACACUUAAAUGCACUUCACAUCAAGAGUAUGUAAAGUUUAUUUUUUCCUCUUCAAACCUUCAGAAAAUUAGGGGUUAUUUCAGCAACCAAUAUGGUCAGAACCUCUGAAGGUAAAAAUUGAGUGCCUCAUAGCAUAAAGGACUGUCUGCAGCACUGCAUACCAGCUGGUAGUAAAGUGUCCCCUUCCAAUGGCUUCUAGUAAGGCCAAAGUUUUAGGUUAGUAUGAAAAAGUGCCACCUUUGUUUUGGAUUAGUGUCUGACAGGAGAAAAUUUAAGUUAUUCUGUAUAUUAUUAUACUUAAAAGCCAGCUCCAAUCUUGAGUAUUUAUGGUAAUAUCUAAACAUACAAAAAUAAUAUAUAAAUUUUUCUUCACUUUCUUGUAAACAGUUGUCAGUAUACUGUUUUAUCCCUUUAUAAUUGAAACAUGCAAAUCAUACAUACAUAUAUAAAUACACAAAAGAGAGUAAUUUACACUCAUUCAAAAUCGAGCAACAAAAUAGUUUCAGUAUUCAAAUUAUACAUAAUGGAUGCAUCUUAUAUUCCUAGAAACAGCCACCAUUCAUCCUAGUGUUCUUAGCUGCAGUUGUAGAAAUACUGAGUUUUACAUUUUCCAUGCCUUUACAGUAUUUGUAACACUUAUCAUAUAUGAAGAUAAAGACUUGUUUAUAUAAUCUCUUCUUUUCAGAAUAAGAAUAAAGCAGCACUUAACAAAUAUUGAAACAGUAGCAGCAACAGCAGGUGUUACCAUUGCUAGAUCAGGAGGAAGUUUUCCAUUCUGACAAUUUUUAAAUUAAAAAAAAGGAAAAAUUGACCUAAAUGAAUAUAAUUAUGGGUUCAUUUCUUGGGCAUGUAACAGUGAGUCCGGCAUUUCAAAUGUGUCUUUGUAGUCCAUAUGCUGGCUGAUGGUAUAACAGUAUUUGUGAUUGGCAUCAGAACCAUUGGUUUUCAUUGGCUUCUUGUCCAGUUUUAUGAGGGUUCUGAGAUGUCCAUAGCCCACCUGAAAUUUUGUAACUUUUGCUCAUUUUGGAGUGAUGGUUGUGAGAAACAUCAUUGAUAUGCAGCUUCCUCCUUCAGGACCUGGAACUAGAGGAAAUGCCAUCACUACUCAGUCUAACAGGACUCUUCAAAACAGUGGGUGGCAUUCCAUCAGCACUGUGUUUACUGCCACCACUGCUCUUGCCACUAUGUGGAUGGGAAUGCUUGUGACUGCUGGUGUGGUAGUGGUUAGCAAGAUGCUCCUGGUGCUUUUCCUUAUUUAUGGUCUCUGCUAUAUAUGGGCUUAAAUGCUUGUUCUUCCACUGCCUUGAUCAAAACUGUCUUUCUGAGGAUGAAACUUUGUCUUCAUCUCCAGUUCUUCCUUACUAGUGCCUGUAUCAGUGGGUAGUAUUGGAAUCCAUAAUUUCAGUGAUCCACUCUUUUCCUUUUUCUCUCCUCUGUAUUUUCAGUUUUUUUUAGUAUUUGUGAUGGGAAUUUUCAUUUUAAUUAGAGAAGUUACAGAACUGCUGCUGGCUGCUUGUGACUGCAUGUGUUUGUGUUGCUAUUCUUCCUGGACAGCUAUAUAAUUAUCUCCUUAUACAAGACCUAGUUUCUAGCUUGUGUUUUUCUCUAUAUUUAUCUAAAUAAAAAUUUGGAGGAAUUAUUCCAGGAAUAGCAGAAAUAGGCUCAUGGUAUUUACUGCUCCCUGUUUUAUGAGUAUAUUCUUGCUUAACAGAUGAAUGAUCAGAAAUUUUGUCAGUUCUAUCAUGUAAUCCUGAAUUCAGAGGUACAGAAGGUCCCUGCUUGAAGUUGAUAUUGUAUUAGCUACCAGAAAAAUAUAUUUCCUAUUUCUAUGACUAUAUUAGUUCUGUCCUUGCUGAUUCUUGAUGUUGAGGCCAUUCUUGGUGGGAUGACAAACUGUAUGAGGUACUGGGCAUUCCUGUUGCUAGCACUGAUGAAUUAUCAGAUGUAUGGCUAUCCUGAACAGAUAUAUUUCCUGAAUUUAUAGGUCCCAGUGCAGGGAAUGCUGAUGUAGAUGCUUUCUGAAAACUUGGGUUUGUAAGCACACCUGUGACACUAUCUACUAAUAUGGAAUUCUGGACUAAAGCUGAACCAAAAAGUGGUGUCUCUCAAACGUGCCUAUCUUAUUUUUGUUUCUUAGCUGCCUGAUUAGCCCUCCAGUUUCAAAUCCUCUUAGGUAUUUUCUCCAAUAUUUUUAGAAACUCAGUUUUUAGCUCAUUUAGUUUUUUAGCUAAUUUAGAGUAACUGUAGGAUCCACAUAUUCCCACCAAUGCUUUCCAUCAGUCAAUACAGGAAUCUCCCAACUAGACUAUUUGCCAAAUUAAUGCAUGCACGUGUUAUCACUGUUUGUUUGUAUUGAAGACAGAAGGUUGUAAGAGGUAGACUGUUGGUAAUUAUAAAGUAGGAUGUCCAUGCCAAAUCCUUGCUUGCUCUUACUAACUGGGUACAUUUCACCACAUCUGUGUAUGGGUGUUUAAUGGUGAUCUCAAAAUCUAGUGUUUGUGACAUUAUGAUUUCAAGUAAAAACAGUUUUUGAGUCUGCUGAAGCAUCACAUUUUGUAUGUAUCCAACAGUGGCACAAGAAGAUUAAGAUAAAUGUGCUACUUUGAUAACAUGUUGAAGUUUUUGAGCCUGUUCUUUCACUUUGCAGCCAAAAAUAAUGCAGUAGGUGAUAUUCUAUGUCUGCUGAAUUUGAUGAAAAGAAUAGUGCAUACAAAACUUGUGCAUAUAAACAAUUACAGUGUUUAUUGUAAGCUUAAAGACACUGAGACACUUUCCUAUGUUCUGGAUAAGUUUGGGUGCUGGCUAGCAGUAUGAGAGUUCUUUAUCAGUCUCCACUCCAGUGGCAGCUUGGUGUGUUCUGCAGCUGUUCCCAAGUAUAAAACGAUUGAGAAGAAGCUCCACGGCCCCACACCAUGACAUGUCCUCCUUUACCCUGCUCCCUCACCCAAGUGAUUUACUUUGCCACAUACUUCCUGCCAUGCCAUCUGUUACCCCCAUCUGGAACCUCUAAACUGAGACUCAUGAACUGAAACCUCUAAAACUGUGAGCCCAAACAAACAUUUUCUCUUUAUAAGUUAUAUAUUAUAUAUAACUUUAUAAGUUAUAUCUUAUAUAUUUUGUUGUAGUGAUGGAAAUCUUAAGAGAAAAAAAUAUAUAUAUAUUUGGUAUUGGGCAUUGAACCCAGGGCCUCACACACAUUAGGCAAGCACAGAAUGACAUCCACAGCUGCUUUUAAAUUUUUAAAUUUUAAAACAGUACAUUACUAAGUUUUUAUGGUUGGCUUUGAACUUUUGAUUCUCCUGCUUCAGAUUCCCUAGUAGCUGGAAAUGCAGGAAUGUAACCACAACACUCAGCUCACAUUCAUCCCUUCAUAAGGAAGACUCUUCUGAAAGAAUGGUAUUAAUCCAUGUGUGAGGAUGGUGCCCCAUUGACCCAACACCUCCCAUUAAUCUCUACCUCCCAAACUGCUGCUUUGGAGAAUCAUAUUUUCAACACAUGAACUUUGGAGGACAAUUCAAACCACAGCUGUUGGUUGGUUUGUCAUCUCGUUAGCAGUGGAAGAUUUUUAACUCAUGGGUCUGGGAAUGGUGGGCAAGAUGGGAGUUUCAUGGAGUCUUUUCCCUGAAGUUUUACUUGUCCCAACACAGGUAGUAACUAUGUAGGUAGUUUCUCCUACAUAGUCUCAAUCUGUGGCAUUCAUAACUUAUCCAUUGCUUUGAUCCCACACUAUUUCUUAUCCUUAGAUUCUCCAGGUAGAGUUUCCCUAAAUAGUUCCACAUAAGGAGCCCUUACCCAGGAUUUUUAGAUGAUCCUUUAAAUGAAAAACUGCAAGAAAACAGCUUGAACUUGAGGAAAUACGGGGAAUGAAAAUAAAUUGUUUUUUUAAGUUUGAUUUUGACUCAAGGAGAAAUAAUAGUUUUACAGAAAUUCAGGGGCCAGUGGAUACUUUGAAGGACUAGAAAAUUGAAUUUAUCUAUAGGCUCUAGUUCUUUGCCAAAGAAAAGGGACAGGGUGUACAGGCGAAUAAGAAGACAACUGAGUUCUUAUGAAUUCGCAGAGAAUAUACAUUUGAAAGGGAAGCCUUACAAGUGAUCAGGUGAGGGAUUUUCCUUUGGUUUAGUGAUCCUAUGAAUCACAAAUUUAUGCUGGUCUACUUGUUUCCUGUAUAACUCUUGUCCCAGAAUUUCAGUUGUCCCCAAAAGCAGAACAUGACACUUGGGUGCAGGCAUUGUAUUUUGGGAAGUGAUCCCAGAAAAUUUAUUUUGAGAAGAGAUCUCAGAAAACAGGAACUCAGGGGACUGGGUAAUAAAAAAAGGAUAAUCAACCUUAGAAUGAAGUAUUGAACUGUUUUACCACUGAGGACAAUGGGGCCUCAAUCUAGUUGGAGGUCCUCUACCUCCCUUCAGAGGCUGGAAUGCUGGGAAUUGGCCCACUAGUGUCUGUCAACUAUUAUCAAGUUUUUGUGACUGCCAUUGCUGAUUGUAUAAUUGGCAUAGAUGUUUUCCACAUUUGUAGGGCUGAGAAGGUAGGUUGGUGGUGGAGCAUUUGUUAGCAUGUGCAAGACUCUGGGGUCAAUCUCUGCUACCAUGAAAACAAAAGUCUUAUAUGUCUGUAUGAGAAUGUUCACAACUGUUAAAGGAGAUUCUGCUAUUCAGGGAUUGUUACAUCGAAUUGAUCGCAGUUCCCUUCUGGCUGGCUCAACAGAAACAAUUAUAGAAUUCUAGAAAAAGAGGAAAGCACAACUUUCGAUUUAAUGGUUUUUGGAGAACUCAGAAUGGACAAGGUCAGUGAGAUAGAAAGAAGAGUCCUGGAUUGAGUACUGGGCUUUAAGGAUUGGUUUAUCUUUCAAAAAGUCUGAUGAUGAAAAAAAAAUCAGUAAAUGAGGUGCAACUAUCUACCAGAUAUAGAAUAAAGUUCCAUAUGACCAUUAUUUUCUUUGAGAGUAUAAUUUCCAAGGUUUAAAAAUUAUUACCUAUAUCCAUAUACAUUUACAUAAAAAGAUGGUUAGAUGUAUUUGUUUUCACCUGAAAUAAAAAAAACCUAUGGGCUAGGGCUAUAGCUUAGUGGCAGAGUGCUUGCCUAGCACAUGUGAGACACUGAGUUUGAUCCUUAGCACCACAUAAAAAAAUAAACAAACAAAAUAAAGGUAUUGUUUAUCUACAACUACAAAAAAUAAAAUAAAAUAAGCCUCUACAUAUAUUCAGUUAAUGAAUCCUAGGGGGCCCCAUGCACACUUGAGUUCAUGUAUGACACCUACAAUAGAUAUUCAUAUCCAGCAGCAAAUGGUCAAAUUUCUACUUACAACACUUUUAUGUAACAAAAACUGUUUGAGGACUGGGGAUAUAGCUUAGUGGUAGAGUGCUUGCCUAGCAUGCAUGAAGCUCUGGGUUUUGCCCCAAUACUACCAAGAAUGUAAAAACAAACAAAACACUUAAAUAGUACAAGGUCCUAAUUUGGAGGUAGAUUAUCUUUUUUUUUUUUUUGAGAGAGAGAGAGAGAAUUUUUUUAAUAUUUAUUUUUUAGUUUUCAGUGGACACAACAUCUUUAUUUUAUUUGUAUGUGGUGCUGAGGAUCAAACCCAGCGCCCUGUGCAUGCCAGGUGAGCACGCUACCGCUUGAGCCACAUUCCCAGCCCCAUGAGGGUAGAUUAUCUUUUAAAGUCAUCUUUUCAAUUAGUUAUUUUGAACUAUAGUAAUAAAAAUGGCACUUAUUUAGUACUUGCCAUGUGGCAGCAUGGAUUUGUUUUAAAACCCAACCUAGGGGAGUGCAGAGUUAAUAGGACACCAAGUAAUAGAGUCUGUGUACUGUGACACCAGAGGAAAGAUAUAGAAGAUGAGGAUGAGAAAGAAGUGGCCAGCUGCAGGAUAAUGCUUUGCUUGCAUCACUAGGAGAUUCUCAAUGGGGACCUCUGAAAGAUAUGAUAACGGUUAGAUGUCAGAGACCAGCUCCAACAGGGGGUCUCAGGAGAUGAACGGAUGGUGAGGAGUCGGCGAAAGAGGGGUGUAGAAACAACACAGACACCAAAGUGAAGGUGUUGAUCUCAAUCUUUACUUGUGAAGCUGAUCAUAUAUACUUUUCAUUUUGGCAGGCUCACAGUACUUUGUGGUUACAAAACAGGAAUCAUUAUUCAAAGAAAAAAAAUAUUACGUAGCUACAAUUAGAAUAGAAGAAUGUAUCUUGGCUUAUGCAUAAGCAAGCAUUUGUACUUUCAGUUUGCGUUUUGCUUCGAGCUGUUUCUGCUUAGUUAACUUUUAAUAAUAGUUAGAAAUGUCCCAAACUAUUGGCCUAUACCUUGACUAUUCUUUCUUGACUUACUGACUGGAACCGGUGCCAUGGUUACGGCAAGUGGUUGACUUGUUAUUAAUUUUAAUCAAACAAGAGUAAGAGCACAAACCAUUGUGCACAGGAACAAGAACAAGUUGCCCAGUACUAAGCACUAAUCUGUCUUCUUAACAUUAAUUUUUCUUCUCUAGAUUUUAAUUUAAUUUCUCAAAAACUUCCUUGACAGGAAUACAGGGAGUUUUUCAUUAGACAUUAACAAUUUACACUCCACAGCUGAAUCAUUGCAUUUAGAGCAAACAGAUCUAUUCUUUAGAAGUAGUUGCAUUAAUUGGGAAAGUCAUGUUUUUUCCUUCAUACUUAAUGGUCAUAUGAGAAAUCGCAACUAUACUUAUUAAAGGAAUACAAAAACAAAUCAGCCCAUUCCCAGAAACAUACUGCGCUCCUCCAGAGGAUGGACGCCUUGCGCCAUCCACCUCAGUAGGGCCUUGCCAUUGCCUGAGUCAGGGGAGGGGCGCAGCA